UCAGCUCGUGUCGUGAGAUGUGGUUAAGUCCCGCAACGAGCGCAACCCCUACGUUUAGUUGCUAACGCGUGAAGGCGAGCACUCUAGACGAACUGCCGUUGACAAAACGGAGGAAGGUGGGGAUGACGUCAAAUCAUCAUGCCCCUUAUGUUCUGGGCUACACACGUGCUACAAUGGCCGGUACAGACGGACGCAAAGCCGCGAGGUGGAGCAAAUCCUAUAAAGCCGGUCUCAGUUCGGAUUGCAGGCUGCAAUUCGCCUGCAUGAAGUCGGAAUCGCUAGUAAUCGCAGGUCAGCAUACUGCGGUGAAUACGUUCCCGGGCCUU
rnacentral:rRNA from 1 species